rnacentral:rRNA from 1 species
GGAGUCUGGGCCGUGUCUCAGUCCCAAUGUGGCCGUUCACCCUCUCAGGCCGGCUACUGAUCGUCGCCUUGGUGGGCCGUUACCCCGCCAACAAGCUAAUCAGACGCGGGUCCAUCCUGUACCACCGGAGUUUUUCACACUCUGACAUGCGUCAGUGUGCGCUUAUGCGGUAUUAUCACCUAUUUCUAAGUGUUAUCCCCCGGUACAGGGCAGGUUGGAUACGUGUUACGCACUCGUGCGCCGGUCGCCAUCAACAAUAGCAAGCUAUCGUCAUGAUGCCCCUCGACUUGCAUGUGUUAAGCCUGUAGCUAGCGUUCAUC